rnacentral:rRNA from 2 species
GACUGGGAUAACUAUUGGAAACAAUAGCUAAUACCGGAUAUAGUUAUUUAUCGCAUGAUGAGUAAUAGAAAGGAGCUUCACAGCUUCACUUAAAAAUGGGGGUGCGGAACAUUAGUUAGUUGGUAGGGUAAUGGCCUACCAAGACGAUGAUGUUUAGCCGGGCCGAGAGGCUGUACGGCCACACUGGGACUGAGAUACGGCCCAGACUCCUACGGGAGGCAGCAGUAAGGAAUUUUCCACAAUGAGCGAAAGCUUGAUGGAGCGACACAGCGUGCAGGAUGAAGUUCUUCGGAAUGUAAACUGCUGUUAUAAGGGAAGAAAAAAUAGAAUAGGAAAUGAUUUUAUCUUGACGGUACCUUAUUAGAAAGCGACGGCAAACUAUGUGCCAGCAGCCGCGGUAAUACAUAGGUCGCAAGCGUUAUCCGGAAUUAUUGGGCGUAAAGCGUCCGUAGGUUUUUUGCUAAGUCUGGAGUUAAAUGCUGAAGCUCAACUUCAGUCCGCUUUGGAUACUGGCAAAAUAGAAUUAUAAAGAGGUUAGCGGAAUUCCUAGUGAAGCGGUGGAAUGCGUAGAUAUUAGGAAGAACACCAAUAGGCGAAGGCAGCUAACUGGUUAUAUAUUGACACUAAGGGACGAAAGCGUGGGGAGCAAACAGGAUUAGAUACCCUGGUAGUCCACGCCGUAAACGAUGAUCAUUAGUUGGUGGA